UCCAAGGUAGCCUAGUGGACAUGGCAUCUGCCCGGUAAGCGGAAGGUUGUGGGUUCGAUUCCCGCCCCUGGAC